AUGGUAGGAUAGAGGCUUACCAUGGUUUUAACGGGUAACGGGGAAUUAGGGUUCGAUUCCGGAGAGGGAGCCUGAGAAACGGCUACCACAUCCAAGGAAGGCAGCAGGCGCGCAAAUUACCCAAUCCCGACACGGGGAGGUAGUGACAAUAAAUAACAAUAUGGGGCUCUUACGAGUCUUGUAAUUGGAAUGAGUACAAUUUAAAUCUCUUAACGAGGAACAAUUGGAGGGCAAGUCUGGUGCCAGCAGCCGCGGUAAUUCCAGCUCCAAUAGCGUAUAUNAAAGUUGUUGCAGUUAAAAAGCUCGUAGUUGAAUUUCGGGAUUUAUCCGUCGGUCGGGCUUUUGGGUCUGUACUGGCGUGAUGGAUUCCUACCUUCUGAAUAACUGGCAUGUCAUUAAUUUGGUGCGCCGGGGAAGCAGGACUGUUACCUUGAAAAAAUUAGAGUGCUUAAAGCAGGCUUAUGCCUGAAUACAUUAGCAUGGAAUAAUGAAAUAGGACGGCAUGGUUCUAUUUUGUUGGUUUCUAGGAUCACCGUAAUGAUUAAUAGGGAUAGUUGGGGGCAUUAGUAUUCAAUUGUCAGAGGUGAAAUUCUUGGAUUUAUUGAAGACUAACUUCUGCGAAAGCAUUUGCCAAGGAUGUUUUCAUUAAUCAAGAACGAAAGUUAGGGGAUCGAAGACGAUCAGAUACCGUCGUAGUCUUAACCAUAAACUAUGCCGACUAGGGAUCGGACGAUGUUAAUUUUUUAAUGACUCGUUCGGCGCCUUACGGGAAACCAAAGUGUUUGGG
rnacentral:rRNA from 1 species